GCCCAGACUCCUACGGGAGGCAGCAGUGAGGAAUAUUGGUCAAUGGCCGAGAGGCUGAACCAGCCAAGUCGCGUGAGGGAAGACGGCCCUACGGGUUGUAAACCUCUUUUGUCGGGGAGCAAAAGCCGGACGUGUCCGGCUGUGAGAGUACCCGAAGAAAAAGCAUCGGCUAACUCCGUGCCAGCAGCCGCGGUAAUACGGAGGAUGCGAGCGUUAUCCGGAUUUAUUGGGUUUAAAGGGUGCGCAGGCGGCGUGUCAAGCAAGCGGUAAAAUAGCGGGGCUCAACCCCGUCGAGCCGUUUGAACUGGCGCGCUUGAGUUCAGGCGAGGUAGGCGGAAUUCGUGGUGUAGCGGUGAAAUGCAUAGAUAUCACGAAGAACUCCGAUUGCGAAGGCAGCUUACCAGUCUGCGACUGACGCUCAGGCACGAAAGUGUGGGGAUCGAACAGGAUUAGAUACCCCCGUACCG
rnacentral:rRNA from 1 species